UCUCGACAGCGUAAAAGUUAACUCAAAUUUGUAUAGAGUUUGAACGUUUGCCUACGUUUGCUGCUAGGGGCGCUGUUCCAGCGGUACACAAAUUUUAGUUAACUCUUACGCUAUCGA
rnacentral:pre_miRNA from 9 species